rnacentral:lncRNA from 1 species
UCCAUUUUGUACUUUAUUUAUCCUUUCGGACUUCCAAAAUUCAAACUUUCUCUUAUGUUUCAGUCUUGUCCUUGUGUCGGUCUUUACUAUAUUUUUCCCUACAGACUUCAAACACUUUCAGCAGCGACAUCAAGGACCAAGAAGCCACAGAUCACUUGGUUACUUAGGGCUUCGGUUUCAGGGGUGCAAUUUAUAAGCUUUUAUUACUGAU